GCAGGAUGGGAUGUGAGAGGCGUUUGGACAAGAGCCUAAUCUCUGGGUGUUUUGCUGAAGGAUAGGUAAUUUAAAGUUCUGCAGGCAGCAAAGGGUUAAUCCAGUUUUUGUCCAAGAGCAGGGAGUUAGAGUACAGAGUGCUUAUUGUCGUUACCGUAUUCAUUCAUUCGUUCUGCAAACCUUUUUUUUUUUUUUGGUCUGUAUGAUCCCAGGGUGUUGUACUGGGGAGGCUGACCUGGAUUCAAAUAUCUGCUGCAAUGUAUUACUAUCUGUAGACAAGUCACAACGCCUCUCUGUUAUUGUUAAAGACCUUUGCAUUUCAAGGAACUGAGACUCAGUCAAGCUGACUCAGGAAGAGGAGUGAGUCGGUCAAGAAAACAGAAUCCACAGGCCUGCAUCAGGCUGGGAACAGAGGCUGCCACCUCCUGUCUCUCUCUUCCUGCCCAGGCAUCUGCAGGGUGCACAUCCCCAGAGCCAAGUGAAGCAUCCAGGAGAGAAGCACCAGCCAAUGCAUUAAGCAGCUCACACACUCACUCCUGAUAGGAAGAGUGGAGGACAACCAGCCCUCCCCCCAUGUGAGUCCUCCAGGCCCCUCUGCAGUUAAAUGCCAUGAUCUCCUUCGCGCCAGGGGCUGCCACAUCAGGAGGCUUGGAUUAAGUGAUUUGUCUCCCUCCAACACAGCUGCUCGCUGGUUCCUGUCUGACAAAUGUGGUUCAUUAGGGCUGACAAAGAUGAAUGUCCUUGUUUGUGGGAGUCUGCUAAGUGCUGUUCUCAGGGAGCCAGUGGACCUGGAUCUGAAGCAAGGUAUACAUCAUGUUGGCUACCCAGCAGGGCCUCUCAGUCAGAGGCUACAGUGGGGACAUGAAGGCCAAGUACGAGCUACCUGCCAUGAGUAGGUCCCACAAGAGCUUCAUGGUUGGGGUACAGUGAAAUUUGGCAGCCGAAGACAGCUUCUAUCAUCGCCAUCUGAGAGUCAACCUGUUUUUGAAAGUAGUUGCCCUAUGAUGUACUUACAACAUACUCAUGAGCCCAGAGACAUACAUCUGGGCCACGAACAUCUACUAAGCAAAUUCUAUAGGCUGGGUGUGUAGGGGGAAGGCUGAGAACCUGGGGGUGGUAGUUGUCAAGGGAGGCCGAAGCCUCAGAAACACAAAACGUGGGCAUAGCCAGAGCACUUCAGCAGCAGCUGCCAUUUGGAAACAGAAAGAGCGCGAGCAGCUGCCUUCCUUCCUGUCCCGAUCAUUUACUUCAGUCAACAAUUCCACGACUCUAGGAGCCCUGAAAAAACUAAAGCAAUCAUUCUCAGCCUGGGCUGGGCAGUGAGAUGCCUGCAGCUGUGACUUCCAAAGAUUUGGACCGUUAUCCACAGUGAGAAACGUAGUAUAUCACAACCCAGUGCACACGUGUGUACACAUAUGCACUUUCAACAAUUUUACCAAAGACGGUGACAUUCACUCCGGUAUUCUUUAUUCUAUUUUCUUCUACUCAAUUUCCUCUUUUAAAAAAUGCUGGUUGGAACCAACAAA
ensembl:lncRNA